GGGGCAUCCCGGUGCCGCCAAAGGGAUUACCGGUGGCGGAUGGGCAUGCGGCGCAUUAGCUAGUCGGCGGGGUAACGGCCCACCGAGGCGACGAUGCGUAGGGGUUCUGAGAGGAAGGUCCCCCACACUGGUACUGAGACACGGACCAGACUCCUACGGGAGGCAGCAGUGAGGAAUAUUGGUCAAUGGGCGCGAGCCUGAACCAGCCAAGUCGCGUGAGGGAUGACGGUCCUAUGGAUUGUAAACCUCUUUUGCCGGGGAGCAAGCGUGCGUUCGUGAACGCGCGUCGAGAGUACCCGGAGAAAAAGCAUCGGCUAACUCCGUGCCAGCAGCCGCGGUAAUACGGAGGAUGCGAGCGUUAUCCGGAUUUAUUGGGUUUAAAGGGUGCGUAGGCGGGAUGCCAAGUCAGCGGUAAAAAUGCGGUGCUCAACGCCGUCGAGCCGUUGAAACUGGCGUUCUUGAGUGGGCGAGAAGUAUGCGGAAUGCGUGGUGUAGCGGUGAAAUGCAUAGAUAUCACGCAGAACUCCGAUUGCGAAGGCAGCAUACCGGCGCCCUACUGACGCUGAGGCACGAAAGCGUGGGUAUCGAACAGGAUUAGAUACCCUGGUAGUCCACGCAGUAAACGAUGAAUGCUAACUGUCCGGCUCGAAUGAGCGCUGGG
rnacentral:rRNA from 1 species